GGGAGUGAAAUAGAACCUGAAACCCUGCACUUACAAGCUGUGGAAGCACAUUUCUUGUGUGACCGCGUACUUUUUGUAGAACGGGCCAACGAGUUACGUUAAGUAGCAAGGUUAAGCACUUAAGGUGUGGAGCCGUAGCGAAAGCGAGUUUUAACUGAGCGUUCAGUUACUUGACGUAGACCCGAAACCGGGCGACCUACCCAUGGGCAGGAUGAAGCGAAAGUAAAAUUUCGUGGAGGUCCGAACCCACGAGCGUUGAAAAGCUCGGGGAUGACUUGUGGGUAGCGGUGAAAUUCCAAUCGAGCCCGGAGAUAGCUGGUUCUCCCCGAAAUAGCUUUAGGGCUAGCCUCAAGGUGAGAGAUACGGAGGUAGAGCACUGAAUGUCCUAGGGG
rnacentral:rRNA from 1 species